rnacentral:tRNA from 1 species
GGAGUUAUAGCUCAGUGGUAGAGCGCUUGCCUUGGAUGUAUGAGGCACUGGGUUUGAUCCUCAGCACCA